GAUGUGUCUUCAGCAAAACUGAAGUCAAAAGCACUGAGAUGGUGUCCCCAUUGCAACUCCUGGGGCUUCUGCUCCUCUGGGUUCCAGCCUCCAGAGGUGAUAUUGUGAUGACGCAGUCUCCAGCCUUCAUCUCUGUGACUCCAGGGGAGAAAGUCACCAUCACCUGCCAGGCCAGUGAGGGCAUUAGCAAUUACUUACACUGGUACCAGCAGAAACCAGAUCAAGCCCCAAAGCUUCUCAUCCAGUAUGCUUCCCAGUCCAUCUCAGGGGUCCCCUCGAGGUUCACUGGCAGUGGAUCUGGGACAGAUUUCACUUUUACCAUCAGUAGCCUGGAAGUUGAAGAUGCUGCAACAUAUUACUGUCAGCAGGGCAAUAAGCACCCUCACACUGCUACAACCCAAAACAAAAACUAGCUCAGCCUGGCUGAACAGAGAAACUGAGCAAUAUCCUGUUUUUAUGAUCUUUGCAGGUGCAGUUGGGGAAAUAAUCUACCAAAUGCCGUCACGUAUGGCCCAUUCAGCAGAGCUGACAUCCAAGAGUCAGUGCCUCAUACUUUCAUCUUUAC